UACGUAGGUGGCAAGCGUUGUCCGGAAUCAUUGGGCGUAAAGGGGACGUAGGCGGUUUGUCGCGUCGGGAGUGAAAACUCAGGGCUUAACCCUGAGCCUGCUUCCGAUACGGGCAGACUAGAGGUAUGCAGGGGAGAACGGAAUUCCUGGUGUAGCGGUGAAAUGCGCAGAUAUCAGGAGGAACACCGGUGGCGAAGGCGGUUCUCUGGGCAUUACCUGACGCUGAGGAGCGAAAGUGUGGGGAUCAAACAGG
rnacentral:misc_RNA from 1 species